rnacentral:rRNA from 1 species
CCCUUAGAUGUCCUGGGCCGCACGCGCGCUACACUGAUGCAUUCAACGAGUUUUUCCUUGGCCGAGAGGCCUGGGCAAUCUUUUAAACGUGCAUCGUGAUAGGGAUAGAUUAUUGCAAUUAUUAAUCUUGAACGAGGAAUUCCUAGUAAACGCAGAUCAUCAAUCUGCAUUGAUUACGUCCCUGCCCUUUGUACACACCGCCCGUCGCACCUACCGAUUGAAUGGUCCGGUGAAGCCUCGGGAUUGUGGCGAGUUCCCUUUAUUGGGAGUUUGUCGCGAGAACUUGUCUAAACCUUAUCAUUUAGAGGAAGGUGAAGUCGUAAUA